UACGUAGGGUGCAAGCGUUAAUCGGAAUUACUGGGCGUAAAGCGUGCGCAGGCGGUUUUGUAAGUCUGUCGUGGAAUCCCCGGGCUCAACCUGGGAAUUGCGAUGGAGACUGCAAGGCUAGAAUCUGGCAGAGGGGGGUAGAAUUCCACGUGUAGCAGUGAAAUGCGUAGAGAUGUGGAGGAACACCGAUGGCGAAGGCAGCCCCCUGGGUCAAGAUUGACGCUCAUGCACGAAAGCGUGGGGAGCAAACAGG
rnacentral:rRNA from 1 species